AUACGUAGGUGGCGAGCGUUAUCCGGAUUUAUUGGGCGUAAAGGGUGCGUAGGCGGUUUGAUUAGUCUAAGAUGAAAGCCCGGAGCUUAACUCCGGUUUGUUUUAGAAACUGUCAGACUCGAGUGAAGUAGAGGCAAAUGGAAUUUCUAGUGUAGCGGUUAAAUGCGUAGAUAUUAGAAGGAACACCAGUGGCGAAGGCGAUUUGCUGGUCUGUUACUGACGCGGAGGCCCGAAAGCGGGGGGAGCAAAUAGGAUUAGAUUCCCUAGUAGGCCACGCCGUAAACGAUGAAUACUAGGUGUAGGGGGUAUCGACUCCCUCUGGGCCGCAGUUAACACAAUAAGUAUUCCACCUGGGGAGUACGGCCGCAAGGUUGAAACUCAAAGAAAUUGACGGGG
rnacentral:rRNA from 1 species